AUCCGACAUCAUUCCCCUACUGUCCAUAGACUGACGAUUGAUGGACCCUUGGGUUAAGAAACAGAUGUGGGAAAAGAUUUGGGUAAGUGUAUCUUAAUUAUAUAUUUGCAUGUGAUAUAUUUACACUAUGUUUGAUAAGAAUAAUUUUGUAACUCCCUUCUGAUAAUUUUGUACAGAGGAGGUAUGACUUCUCAGAUCAUGAAACGGCUCGAGAUGUCCGAC
rnacentral:lncRNA from 1 species